CAGAUACUGUAGCACAAACAGUGACAGUUCAAGCAAAGGAACUUAGAAAGACUUUGAGAGAAAGUGACCUACCAGAGACAAUUCAAGAAAAAAAAAAACAAAAUCCCGUUAUUUGCAUGAAUGCAUGUUGUUUUUACCCUUUUGCUUUAGUUUUUGUAGUAAAACUUUACCUGUAAAUCAACCCGAGAUAAAUACCUGGGUUGCCUCAGCCAAAGACUGCAAGCUUUGAUACCAUCUGUUUGUCAGAUCAUACUGUUCCCAUUCAUACACAGCUGCAAAAUUUGAAAAAUUUAGCCAACCAAACUCAUAUUGAUAAUUUUAAAGUGAAUCAAUCUGACCAUCAAAAGUUAGAGAAGCUGGACAAUUUGUUUAAAGGUUUAAGCUUUGCACCUUGGCUAAGAGAACUCUGUAAAAUAAGCUUAAUUGUUUAAACAAGUGUUAACUGUAGUCUUAGCAGCAGUACCCGUUAUACUUCAGUGUGUGCAAAAACUAACAAGACAGUUUCUAGUUCUGCAGUUUUCAACUUUCCUCUUCUACCUCACCAGUCCCUCUUCAGAGCCCCAAAAAAAGGAUGGGUUAUCAGGAAAAAAGGGGUUUAAGCUGAGGGAAAAAGCUUCCUUUUUCACAAUUGCCUGUGUUCAAAUUGAAGAGGAAUCCACUUUCCCUGCAAUUUUAAUAGUCUCAAUUGGAGCAUUUCAAGGGUUUAAAGCUGCAUUUCAGGGCACUUCUACCCACACCCUAGCACCAAGUAUUUCCAAUGGGAGCAAGCCCAGCAGGAGGAUUGCAAUUUCCAGAAGUUCUAGGUCACAUCAAGUGCGAUAUUUCAGAUUCUCCCAGCAGAUUCAUCGUAACACAAAAGGGAACCACCCCCGCAGCAGCUUUCCUUAGCAGCGGAUGGUCCUCUCGCACAGAUUCACUUCAGGGAGAUGCAGACGGAUUGACCUCCUGGCAGAGCAUCUGUCCCAGAUGAGGAGAUCCCCCUGAGAAGGUUGGUCACGGUUUUACUUUGCAGCGGGGCUGGAACCAGUCACUGUGUUACCGCUCUGCUCUUUGUAUUUAUUUCUAGGAAGUAAAGCUGGAAAGCAGCGGGGAAGGCGAAGCAGGUGGAAGGUGAGCCUCGGUUGGUGGAGAGAAGCAGUUGUUCUUGCUGGGGUCUCAGUUUCUGGUGCAACUCCAAGCAUCCCUGCUUGUUGGUGUGUUUUAGGCUGCCUCCUGAUGCUGUGCUGAGGCCCCCUCACUGACCUGUCAAGAGACCCAGUUUGCUUCUCUGGUGAGCCCCAGCAAAUAUUACCAGAGUCCGUCACGAAGUCUCGACCUCGUCCACGUGUCGGUGCGGUCCAGGUACCCUUUAGCUGAGGAGUCCCGGUGAGUUUGGGGCAUCGGAAGGAGCAGCGAGGGCGCGCUCAACUUUUAGCAACACUACAUCGCCACCUCUCCGUUUAUCCUAGGCGUACCCUGCGACCACGGCGUCCGCCUCAGAGCGUGGCCGAAGCGUGCGGCCGGAGGACCCGGGAGUUCCUAAGAGACGGUGAGUAGGAGUUGGGUUUUGGUGAAUAUGCCACUAAGAUUGUGCACUUAUAUUUGGUUUUCUUUAUCAUAGGUGAUGAUACUUGUCUGAGACAACAGCCCGGUGAGAGAAGAAGUUCCCAGACAGCGAGGUGGCUUUGUUUGGCACCCGACCGGCCUCUCGCUGUGACUCACAUCUUCAGCCCUCCGAGAGAUAAGUGGAGCCCGCAGAGGGGAUCAAAGCAGGGCGGUGGGUUGGGACUCAGAUCGGUUUGGGUUUUUGAGUGAGCUUUGGGGAUGGGGAGGUUCUGGAAAUGAUCCCAUAGGCCCCAGUGAGGGAAAGCCUCACUUUGGUUCGCAAUGGUGAGGCGAACAGGGCAGAGCAGUCCCAGGGUGUGUUGUCACUUGUC
rnacentral:lncRNA from 1 species